AUUGAACGCUGGCGGCAGGCUUAACACAUGCAAGUCGAGCGGAGAUGAGGUGCUUGCACCUUAUCUUAGCGGCGGACGGGUGAGCAAUGCUUAGGAAUCUGCCAUUUAGUGGGGGACCACAUUCCGAAAGGAAUGCUAAUACCGCAUACGUCCUACGGGAGAAAGCAGGGAAUCUUCGGACCUUGCGCUAAAUGAUGAGCCGAAGUCGGAUUGGAUAGUUGGUGGGGUAAAGGCCUACCAAGGCGACGAUCUGUAGCGGGUCUGAGAGGAUGAUCCGCCACACUGGGUCUGAGACACGGCCCAGACUCCUACGGGAGGCAGCAGUGGGGAAUAUUGGACAAUGGGCGGAAGCCUGAUCCAGCCAUGCCGCGUGUGUGAAGAAGGCCUUUUGGUUGUAAAGCACUUUAAGCGAGGAGGAGGCUACUAGUACUAAUACUACUGGAUAGUGGACGUUACUCGCAGAAUAAGCACCGGCUAACUCUGUGCCAGCCGCCGCCGUAACAC
rnacentral:rRNA from 1 species